GGCGCGUUGGUCCAGUGGCACGGAUUCCCGGUUUUCACCCGGGCGACGCGGGUUCGAUUCCCGCACGCGCUG
rnacentral:tRNA from 1 species